GAAGGGCGUUUGGUGAAUGCCUUGGCAGUAAGAGGCGAUGAAGGACGUGAUACUCUGCGAUAAGCUAGGGGGAGCCGAGAAUAGGCUUUGAUCCCUGGAUCUCCGAAUGGGGCAACCCACUUGAUACUCUGUUAUUGUUAGCUUUUGCUGAUCAAUAACCGGGUAAACCAAGUACUUUUAACCUGAAUACAUAGGGUUUUAAGAGCGAACCCGGGGAACUGAAACAUCUAAGUACCCGGAGGAAAGGAAAUCAACAGAUACUCCCCUAGUAGCGGCGAGCGAACGGGGACCAGCCGAGCCUUGAGAGUGACCAGAACAAUCUGGAAAGAUUGACCAUAGUGGGUGACAGUCCCGUAUGG
rnacentral:rRNA from 1 species